rnacentral:rRNA from 1 species
UACAGAGGUCCCAAGCGUUGUUCGGAUUCAUUGGGCGUAAAGGGCUCGUAGGCGGUUUGUCGCGUCGGGAGUGAAAUCCACUGGCUUAACUGGUGGCUUGCUUUCGAUACGGGCAGACUGGAGGUAUGCAGGGGAGAACGGAAUUCCUGGUGUAGCGGUGAAAUGCGCAGAUAUCAGGAGGAACACCGGUGGCGAAGGCGGUUCUCUGGGCAUGUCCUGACGCUGAGGAGCGAAAGUGUGGGGAGCGAACAGG